AGGUCUGGCAGGCUGGAAGCCUUUUUCACUUUUAAGUACUAGAUCCCCUCCAGAGGAAGACUCACCAGGCUGCAGCAGCCAGCUGAGGUGGGAGCCUGCAGGAAGGGUCAGAUUAGAACAGAGAUAGGAAGAGGUGGAAGGGUGGACACUAAGACCUAGGGAUGCCCCAAAUUUUCAGGUGCCCUACGCCUUGUAUGCUGCAUAUGCCUAAGGAUGGCCCUGGGUGAAAUAAAAAGAUGAAAAGACAGACAGCAAAUGCCUGACACUGAAAGCUGCAACUUGCCUGUGCCUAGUGCACAAGGAGAAGUUGAAAAUACGAUCCCUGUAAAGCUGCUAUGGCCAGGGGUCCUGUGAUGAAAGAUGUAAAAAUCAAAGCAACUAAUUUUUCCCAGUGCGUAGGGUUUUGAAGGAGGAUUAAUUUGCUUGCUUCAGGCACUUUACUCCCUCUAUAUCCAUCACCAUUCUGAAUUGUACCACCUUUAUGCCAUCCGAAUGAAAGAAUCAUAACCUUGUUUUUCCAAACUAAGCUGGGGAUAUGGCACCGGGUGGCAAUGGUGGGUUAGUGCCCUGGCUUCUCACCUUCAAAUCCUAGUUAAAUUAAAAUAAAUUUGGUGGCCGGAUUCCAUCAUUAUGCAUAUUACAAAACCACCCAAUGAUCUGAUCAGAGUGUCUGCUGAAGCAAUAGUCAAGACUGGGCUAAGAAAGCAGUAACUUAAGAACAAGUUAGAUGAACCCCUGUCAGGAAUUCUGCUUGAACACAGGUGGAUGGAAUAGAUCAUCUCUUGAGGUCCCUUCCAGCCCUACACUUCUAUUAUUCUACCAGCAGGUUACAACACCGACCCAACUUUUUGUGGGAAGAUUGCACAGCCUUAGUCUGCUCUAGGUCUAGCCCGAGCCCCAAUUAGCACUCACUUUAAGGCAAACUAGAUCUGCUCUCAGAUUUUAAGAGGGUGGGGAAUGUUUGGAAAGCACACAAUGCUGUAAGCAGUAUGGGAAGAAAAGAGGCAUUUAAAUACUUUGAUUUUUAAAUUGAUUUGUCCAUGAGCUUUAAAGAGAGAGUGAUACAUGUGUGCGCAACUUCUAAAUGUAUGUGAGCAAGAGAGAAGCCUGGUAUAUUUAUAAGUACAGUAAAACCUCAGAGUUCUGAACACCAGAGUUAUGAACUGACCAACCCAAACACCCCUCGUUUGGAACCAGAAGUACACAAUCAGGCAGCAGCAGAGACCCCCCCCCCCCCCAAAA